GUACGCACUCCUACGGGAGGCAGCAGUGGGGAAUAUUGCACAAUGGGCGCAAGCCUGAUGCAGCCAUGCCGCGUGUAUGAAGAAGGCCUUCGGGUGUUAAAGACUUUCAGCAGUGAGGAAGGUGGAUAUGUUAAUAGCAUAUUCAUUUGACGUUAGCUGCAGAAGAAGCACCGGCUAACUCCGUGCCAGCAGCCGCGGUAAUACGGAGGGUGCGAGCGUUAAUCGGAAUUACUGGGCGUAAAGCGCAUGCAGGUGGUUUGUUAAGUCAGAUGUGAAAGCCCGGGGCUCAACCUCGGAAUUGCAUUUGAAACUGGCAAACUAGAGUACUGUAGAGGGGGUAGAAUUUCAGGUGUAGCGGUGAAAUGCGUAGAGAUCUGAAGGAAUACCGGUGGCGAAGGCGGCCCCCUGGACAGAUACUGACACUCAGAUGCGAAAGCGUGGGGAGCAAACAGGAUUAGAUACCCUGGUAG
rnacentral:rRNA from 1 species